GAUGAACGCUGGCGGCGUGCUUAACACAUGCAAGUCGAACGAAGCACUUUAACUUGAUUUCUUCGGAUUGAUUGUUUCUGUGACUGAGUGGCGGACGGGUGAGUAACGCGUGGGUAACCUGCCUCAUACAGGGGGAUAACAGUUGGAAACGACUGCUAAUACCGCAUAAGCGCACAGGACCGCAUGGUCCGGUGUGAAAAAACUCCGGUGGUAUGAGAUGGACCCGCGUCUGAUUAGCUAGUUGGUGAGGUAACGGCCCACCAAGGCGACGAUCAGUAGCCGACCUGAGAGGGUGACCGGCACAUUGGGACUGAGACACGGCCCAAAACUCCUACGGGAGGCAGCAGUGGGGAAUAUUGCACAAUGGGGGAAACCCUGAUGCAGCGACGCCGCGUGAGCGAAGAAGUAUUUCGG
rnacentral:rRNA from 1 species